AGGACGAACGCUGGCGGCGUGCUUAACACAUGCAAGUCGAGCGGAAAGGCCCUUCGGGGUACUCGAGCGGCGAACGGGUGAGUAACACGUGAGUAACCUGCCCCUAGCUCUGGGAUAGCUCCGGGAAACCGGGAUUAAUACCAGAUACGACCACUUUAGACAUCUUUUGUGGUGGAAAGGAUUCCGGCUAGGGAUGGGCUCGCGGCCUAUCAGCUUGUUGGUGGGGUAACGCCUACCAAGGCGACGACGGGUA
rnacentral:rRNA from 1 species